UGCAUGGGGGGCUGGCUGCGCGGCACCAGCGGCUCACACGCAGCUGUGUGUAAGACAAGGAGAGGUUACGUACAACAGGCAGUUAAUGGCUCAUACCAGCAAGCCCUCGACUUCAGUCGGCACAUGCGGCUGAAUUUUAAAGAGGUAAAUGACCUUGCAGCCGGGAGCUUUAACUAUGUGCUUUUACCUAUUUGUACCUGGAUAAGUAAACAUUUGCAGCAUGCCAAAAGGCCCCCGAAAGCACUAUUGUAGCCAGAGGCUAAUCCCUUUCUCUCUGGAUGAAAGACUUCAAAACAAACCAGGGGGUAAAAAAUCAUUUUCUGCCUCAAGUAGCAGAAAGGUAAAGGGGGGCAAUGGUGAUAAUGACUUCCAUUUGUUAUAACUUUCAGAAGUCACCAAGGUUCCAGUCCUAACCAGCUGCCCAUAUUUAGGAUUCUACUUUCCAAGAAGAAUGACAGAAACCCAGGGCCUUCAGACACAGGGAAUGGUUGUAGGCAGAGUCUCACAGAACUGCCGCCAUUUGUCAGUGCAAUCCAACAUAAGGAAUGAACAUCUCCAUGCUUGUUCGACUACCCAAAAGGGUUGCUCUCCCAACUGCUGUCACUCAGGGGCAAGAGCAGGCCAAUCUCUGUUCUCCUCUGCUUUAACCUUACAUCAGCAGGGAUGUAUUCAGGCAGUCAAGGCCUCCAAACACAGGUUCCCUGCCAGCUGCCCGGGGGGAGGGUUUUCAUUCCAAGUGAAGGCCUCUUUGGAUACCUCCCCCUGCAGCAGGAUCACCUGAGCCAUCUCUGAAAUAGUGGCUCAGCAUCCCAAAUUCUUUCCAAAGAGUGGAAUAUUUGUGAUUUACAAUGUGAGCAGGAACUUUGGUAAUGCUGUUAUUUUAAGAACUCGUCAAUCAGUAGAGAUUAAGAUAACUUUUAUUGCAACAUAAACUGAGAUUGCCAUGAGAACAGACAGAAGAUGUCUAUGGAACAUUUAAGGCAUUUCACAGGCCAUGAAUCAAUAGAGGAUGGUUGGGUGGGGUGAAGAGAGCCAUGGACUAAGAGCUGGGUGUUCUAGACUCUUCCACCCUGUGGUCCUCAUGAGCUGCUUGACUCUCAGCAUGUCACACACCUGAGAUCACAAUCCCUCCUACGACCACUGAGUUCCUACUAUGUGUCAGGAACUACUCUGGAUGCUGAAAAUAAGCACAGUGGGCUGGAUGACCAGUAGGCAUCAUUCAUGUACAUACACGCAAAUGAAUUAAUAAACAAGAAAAGCUGCACUCUGGUGCCAGCCGCCAUCUGUUGAACCAAAAUAAUCUUUAAAUGGCCAGAAAUGCUUUCUUCCCUGUGAUUCAGUUAAUAUAGGUCAGCCUAAUGAGGUUGGUUUAUAUCCAUGAGAGAAAACAGCACUCCUCAGUCCAAUAUACGGUUUUAAUAAACUUUAUUAAAUUUCCAUUGAUCCAUAUGCAAAAAUAAUUUGUUUACAAUUUGAACUCAGCCUACUAAAUGGUGUCUAACUCAAUAAAGGAAGAGGCUGAGAAACAACAGCUGUAUGGCUAUUAACACAUUAUGCCAUUAAAAACACUAAACAGUUGGGUUUGGGGAAGGAGUCAAAGUUAACCCUUGGAAUAUCUCUAAACCAGACAUCAAUUUGAAUUUGCAAUAGGAAGCUAGGAACUUGGAAAUUAACUUCUCUCCACCUUAUGAACAAACCUGCAAGAACAGGGCCUCUACCUAUGGCUUUGCUGCUUAGCCCCCUAGGAACUGCCUCUAAAUGUACAAACUCAGCCUCAGGCAGAGAUGACAAUAGGGUGUUAGCAUUUAGAAGGAUGUCUUAAUAAUAAGCAAAGUAGGAUCAUUUGAUAGUUAAUAUAAUUCACAUGGCAUCCUACACUUUAGAAACUUAAGUAAAUUGUUUAGUUGCAACCAGGGUCAAUGAGGCCAGGGUCAGGGCAUAUUUCUUUUCAGCCAGUCAGUUCUCUGUGGUGAUCACAUCUGUAAUCCAAGCAGUAAACCAAUAACAAGCAUUCACUGAGAUCUAAGGAAGGCAAAUCCCAAAUUAUAUAUUGUAGAGAUGGACAAUAAAAUCAAGAGACAUGAAAAAUUAAGAACAAUCAAGCGCUAUACUGUAUAAUUCUAGGGAUGUAUCAGGUCCAGAGAAAAAAGACGAGUGAAGAGUAACAACAAACACAAGACUAGGAAGGAAAUGGGAUGGAACUGUGCCUUAAAGAAGGAUAAGGUUUCCAUGGAUGCUAGAAGAAAAUGAAGGGUCAAGAGAGAAUUGGAGUGGGGACUGCCGAGGGCUGGGGGAGAAACAGCAGAGAUAACUUAAGAGUGGGAGGGUGGGGCAAUGAGGAUCCUGUUAGUCCUUUUAUUAUUUAUUCUUUAUAGGGAUUACAAGGGAGGAGAACCAGAAAUGACUAGUGACUAUCCAUCAUACUAUUGUAAAAGCAGGGGACACACCCCAAGAGGCAGCAGCAGCAGUGUUGAGGAAAGAUAGUUCCAGUUUUAGAAAACCAGAUUUUGCCUGGUAUCCAGAUUAGUGACCACGUGACAUUUCUUACUUAGAACUCUAAGUUAGAAACAUUUCUGGUAACUUAAAGAUUAUUUUGGUCUGCCAGAGGAUGGCUAGCACCCAUGCAGCUUUUCUUAGGUAUUAAUUCAUUUGCAUGCACAUUGAUACCCAGUGAUCAUCUGACCCACCGUGAAUAUUUUUAUGUGGUAAUCUGAAUAUAAACAAGAAAAUGAAUGAAAAUAAUGAAGGCAAAUCUUGGCUUUCUCAUUAUAACAGUGAAUUUGAACUAGCGGGUGACUGGUCCAGCUUCCCACAUGGUUAUAGAUACCUCUUGGACAACACCUUACUGAAAUGAUCCUCUAGCUCUAGUCUCAGCACUUUGGUCCAAUAGGCCUUUGCGUAUCUUCAAGGUGGCACCUCAUCCUGUUGAAUAAGAAUGCUUUAUAAAGCUUGCAUUUUACAUUGUGCCUAAGCUUCCCUAAUACCAUUAACCCACAGUCCUAGGUUUCUCCUGUAGAAACUCUCUAUCUGUAUCCACUCAUUUCGGCUUUAGUUAUUUAAAAGAAGAAUCUAUGUAUCACCUAUCUCCUCUAUUCUAGGUCAAGUAUUUCCAUGAUAUUCAACAUCUUGGUCCCUCUUCUAAAGAUGACCACUAGUUUUUCUAUUUUUCUGAAAACAUGAAGCCCUGAACUGAACCUCGUCCUCUAGAUCACAUGUGAAUUGUGUGGAUCUCAAGAGGACACUGAACUUGACCCAAAGCCUCCCUUAUACCCAAAUCAGCAAUAUCUUUCCAAGCUAUAGCCUAUGACAGUACACCAAAUAUCAAAUAAAAUAACCCACCGCCUCUGAUAUGAACAACUGCAAAGCCAGACAUCUCAAGCAUAGACUUCCACAAUUGAUUUUUUUUUCUUUUAAAUAUAGAGCAAGGACUUCAAAUUUAGAAUCCUAUUAAAUUGUGUCUGUUAGGUGUCAGACAAUGUUUAGCUUGCUGAAACCACUUGGAACCAUGACCUAAAACCUCUGGAAUGUCCUGACCACCCUCACUCUGUAUUUUGAGAUUUAAGAAACAAGGCCCCUUCCAGCCCCUUAAAAAUUAUGUUUACUAGGUGAAGAACAAGGAGGAAAUCAAGUCUGAAGCUAAGAUAUGUGGACAAAACCUAGGUUUAUUAAGAAAGGAGAUAAGACUCAUUCAUGUUCUUUGGAAACUGUGAAAAUAGGCGCCGCUAACUUCACUAGUAUGAAGAAAAACAUGCAGAUGAACCAUGUUACUGUUCUUUUGAAGACCUAUGUGUAUUAGAUGUGGAGCAAUUGGCCAAACAAAUAACUUCCAGUGUGAGCUCUCUCAACUUCGUCAGGAAUUUUAAAAAGAAAAAUUGAAAACUAUCCAAAUGACCCUAUUGCUUUUGGAAAGAUGAAUACAAACACAGCCUGAACAAAAGAAACACAGUUCACCUUGGUCAUUGGCUCAAGAACUUAAUAGCAAACUUAGAACUUGUUCUUCCCCCAAGAGAUUGCCACAUGGAUUUAUGAACCAACAUCUGGACAACCAAUACUGGAACAGCCAUGCUUGUCACUUCCUCCCCUACUAAGGGGAGUGGGAAGGUAUAUUUACUGUUGACACUAUUAUUAAGAACAAGAAUCCAAACAACCCCUAAGUGUCAUACCACGGCUGAAGAAUAGCUAUCAAAUCCAAUAACUGAGAAUACAAACAUGAAUGGCUUCAUUAUGAGUGACAAGAACCUAAAUAUUAUAUUACAACAAAGCAGACAAUAUGCAUAUUUAAGGGUCCUGAGUUAUUUCUCAGAGAUAAAUGUGAGGAAAGGAUGACUGCUAGAACCAUCUUUCAUACCCAGCUGGAAUCAUAUAUGCAAAAGACAAAGUAACAUGGGAGCUUUACAAUGUUUGCAGAAAUCGUAAAUGACCUUGCCACAUAAGACUUUGGCUCAUUAAUUUGACUAAUUACAGAGACCCCUAACUCCUAAUAGUUAUGUCCCCAAGGAUUGAACAUGAAGAACCAAUCACAUAGUUGUUGAAACUCUUAGAGUACCUCAUAAAAGCUAAAUUAUGGUGCCACCAACCUAGGCCAAAUCACCUUUUUGAUACCACUAGGAAGAUAUUUAGGAGUAAAAAUCUGAAAUAACAUCAAUAUAAAAAUGAGAUUCCAUUGUAUAAUUUUUCACAUUUUUUCCAAAUGUUACAAUAAAAUUACCUUUUUCAGUAGCCUCAUCAAUCUCAUGAGCAUCAUAAGGCAACUGUUAUACUUCCUUUUAUAGAUUUGGAGCUAAAGAGAUAAAUGGAUAUUUGCCUAAAGCUAUAUAAUGAUAAAAACACACAGCCUGUUUUCCUUUUUACAAAUUUACAAACACAGCAGUCCUACUUCUUUGAACAAAAGUCUACUAUACAAUGUUGGCAACCAAAGAAAUGGAGCCACCAUGUUUAGGAAUGUCUGUGGCAUCUUAACGCCCUGCAAGGAGAAGGAAUAUGAAACUUCUCUAUGUUAUUAGUCCAGUGACGAAUCUGCAAAUCAAUUGUCACACAUUUCUGGUGUCAGUCAAACCAGAUUUACAUGGAAACACUGGUCUGAUUUACCUAGAAAGCAGGAGCAACACAAGUGUAUGCAUUAGGAAUCAUAAAGUAAUAUUAUGGGGACUUGUCACCAGGAACUCCAUUAGUUGAUAAAAAUGGAAGCAAAGCCUAUCAUUACUUCAUCAGUCUAGUCAAUCUUCAUUGAAAACAAGUAUACGGAGAUUUGCUAUUCUAUUUCCAGCUACAACACAAGCAAAGAUACUUCACAUCCAGCCACAUUUCAUGCCAAUUGCCCAUUAUAAGACAACAAUUUGGCCACAAAGACACUCUACUAGGAACUCCAGCUGCUAGCAACAUGGUGAAGGUAAAAAGCAGACUCAAUCCUAAAGACUGGGCACCCAGCUCUAUUCUGUUACCUCCCCAGCUGGCCGUUCAUCCAAUGGCCCUGAGCCUUUGUUUUCCCCUCUGAAAAACUGCUGGAUUCCUUCUGAGGAUUACUCUGGAUAUGAGGAGGGACCCCACAUCAGUAGGCUGUGUACGUGUUGUAUGAUUAAGAGAAGCUAAAAUACAGUCUUAUCUCUGUGACUGGUGAAUGCAGGCUCCUGGGCAACCUUGUCCUGACCUCUCCUGGCCUGUACCAGAUAAUUUAGUGCCACUAUCAUCAUUAGUAAACAUCCACUGAGGGCCUGCUAUGGGCUUAAUUACACUUGGAUUUGUAUGGUUCACUGGCAUUUUCAAUGGGUAUGUGUCUGGUUCUCUUUAAGCAACUGUAUGCUCAUCCAGGGACAAGAACCUGUAUAUACACAGGUAUAUAUUUCUAUAGACAUAUUAGCCCAGCACAAAACAGAAUAUAUAGUAAUAUAAUGUAGUAAUAUAAUAUAGUAAUAAUAUAUAUUAUAUAGUAUAUAAUAUAGUAAUAUUAUAGCAAUAUAGUGUAGAGGUAACAUGAUGGGCCUGGAAACCAAUCAAAGACAGAAAAAUACAAAGGUGGUAUGAACAGAUUUAGAAAAUAAAAACCUUCCACAAGUGGAAAAAUCUAAGAUUUUUUUUUAAAGAUGGGCAUAAUAGCAACAUUUCCCUCUGUAAUCUCAUAUAGAAGGAUGUUUAAAGGAAAAAAAAAUCUACCAAGGGUCUUAAUCAAGCUAUUCCACUUAAAAGCAUUAAUGCUAAGUAUGCAAACGUUCACCUGACUGAUCAUUAAGGUAUCAAGAACUAAUUUUCCUCCUUUUAAGAGCUUAUAUGUCAUAUCCCACCCCUUGGGCCUUCCAGAAAUGCAUUUAAAUGCCUAACUGGGAGGGGGAAAAAGAAAAAAAAGCAUUCCAGACAGCCAGGUGUUAGUGAUUCAGCCAUUAAAACUUCAGUGAUAAAAUAUCCCCCACAAUUGUAAAACAUUUCAGUCAUUAGAAGAUCAUAAAUAGAUUAAGAUGACAUUUUAAAUUAUUAUGACACCAUGUGUAUAAAAUGUACAUUGUUCAUCACAAUAUCCCAGAUGACUGUGACUCUGAUUAUCUGAAGUUAAAGAUGAAGUGCACGUGUUAUUUAUUUUGAGAUCCAACAGGGAAAGUCAGGGAGUGUACAAGGUGGAGAAAAGCGACAUUCAGAUGGAAGUGGGGCUGCUGCUGCAUCCCCCCGGGGCACACAAAGACUUUAGGUUCAUUUUGCAAUACCAUUCAUUUGCUGUUCCUUGAGCAAAAAUAAAUCCUUGUUUCAUGUUUGGAGGAUCAAAACUAAAGUAUAAAAGAAAACGGUCCAAAAAAAUCCAUAAUUCUAAAACCAUCAUUGAAAAUGUCUUGGUAUUCUUCUUUGAGUUCAUUGAAAGGUUUUAAUUAGACUUCAAUAUUUGCUUGUGUCUAAAACUUGAAAAGAAGCUCAUAACUGUUCAUGUUGUGCAUAUCCUCAACUACCAGUGAACUGGUCCCUCAUCACUUUAGGAUGAAUUCAAGGAGCACAGUGUGUCUCCC
rnacentral:lncRNA from 1 species